rnacentral:lncRNA from 1 species
AUCAAAAAAAAUCUCUCUCUCUCUCUCUCUCUCUUCCUCUCUCUUCGAUGAGGUAACUUCCUCCUCUGCAGUCAGUCCUUCAGAGUCUCAGAGCUUCACCUUCAUUCCAGCAAACAUGAACAAAUUCAUCUUUCUGAAGUACGCCCUGCUCGUCUUCAACCUGCUGGUUGCUGUCGCUGGAGUUCUGUUGUUCAUCGCAUCGAUUUAUCUGACACAACUCGCCUCGAAGUUUGACUUGGUCUUCAAAGAAGUUGUUCAGAUGUUGACGUGGCUCGUCACCUUCGCCACCUUUGGCCUGGCGGCUCUGGGCGCACACGCCAGCGACGGCAAGAGGAAGACCCCGCUGGUCGUGUUCUGUGUCCUGAUGUGGAUUGUCUCGGUCAUCAUGGUGUUCUACAGCAUCACCACCGCCGUGAUCAUCUUCAGGUUCACAUCUGUAAUUUGGCCCGGCGAAGAGCAGGGGGUGAUGAAGCCCUUCAACAUUGCGUUGGGACUCUUCAUUGGAGCCGGUGUCCUCUCGUUUGUGGGCGGGCUCCUGUCCAAGCUCCUGGUGGAUCAGAUCAAACAGCGCGGCGAAGCUCAGAGUUCGAUCCCCGCCGAAGGAUUCCCCUUCACUCCUGAUCGAUCAGUGCUAGCAUGAGAAACCUCUGCUGCAUCGGAGAAACAAGAUGCCCAUUUCCUGUUUCUGACACAAAUGUCACUUUUUCAUAAAAGUGAUACAUUUGUAUUUCAAUAAAGAUACUUUCACAUUUUCAAUCUUUUCCUAUCUUUAUGAUUUUCUCAUAGAAACUGAAGGAAGACUGCUUAAAGGGGCUGUAUCCUGCUUUUUUAGCUAGUCCAAACCCCAGAAAUGGCAUUAACAUGGUAAUAGUUUAUUUUUGGCUCGAAGGAAAAGUCAUUUUGUGUGAAAUAAAAGAUUUUCUGGGGCUAAUUCUGAAACCCGGAAGAGAAAACAUUCUGUUUCACUGAAAUCCCGCCUCUCCCCCUGUGGACUUUGACUGACAGCUACUUCAACCAAUCAGCGCUUCAAAACAAAUAUGCUAGCUAGCUUUAGCUCUUUAGCUCGAGCUUCUCCACCCGCAAAAACGUCUUUUCCUGUUAGAAACUCACCAAGCGCAGACCCUCCAGACCCUCCAGACCCUCCAGACCCUCCAGACCCUUCGGACCCUCCAG